rnacentral:rRNA from 1 species
GACGAACGCUGGCGGCGUGCUUAACACAUGCAAGUCGAGCGGUAAGGCCCUUUCGGGGGUACGACGAGCGGCGAACGGGUGAGUAACACGUGGGUGACCUGCCCUCAGCUCUGGGAUAAGCCUGGGAAACUGGGUCUAAUACCGGAUAUGACUCCAUGACGCAUGUUGUGGGGUGGAAAGCCUUGUGCGGCUGAGGAUGGGCCCGCGGCCUAUCAGCUUGUUGGUGGGGGUGAGGCCUACCAAGGCGACGACGGGUAGCCGGCCUGAGAGGGCGACCGGCCACACUGGGACUGAGACA